rnacentral:rRNA from 1 species
UACGAAGGGGGCUAGCGUUGUUCGGAAUUACUGGGCGUAAAGCGCACGUAGGCGGAUUUGUAAGUCAGGGGUGAAAUCCCGGGGCUCAACCUCGGAACUGCCUUUGAUACUGCAAGUCUCGAGUCCGAUAGAGGUGAGUGGAAUUCCUAGUGUAGAGGUGAAAUUCGUAGAUAUUAGGAAGAACACCAGUGGCGAAGGCGGCUCACUGGAUUGGUACUGACGCUGAGGUGCGAAAGCCGGG